AAAACCGACAAAGCGCCAUGAGCCUCCCUCGCGGAGGACGACGAGGCGGGAGGUGAUCGAAUUUUCGGCGGAUGCCUCCCCGUGCGGUUCCGGCGCGCACACAGCCGACAAAUACGCGGGCGACCGCGGAACAGAGGGACUGUGACGGAACGGA
rnacentral:ncRNA from 2 species